UGGGGAAUAUUGGACAAUGGGCGGAAGCCUGAUCCAGCCAUGCCGCGUGUGUGAAGAAGGCCUUUUGGUUGUAAAGCACUUUAAGCGAGGAGGAGGCUACUUGGAUUAAUACUCUAGGAUAGUGGACGUUACUCGCAGAAUAAGCACCGGCUAACUCUGUGCCAGCAGCCGCGGUAAUACAGAGGGUGCGAGCGUUAAUCGGAUUUACUGGGCGUAAAGCGUGCGUAGGCGGCUUCUUAAGUCGGAUGUGAAAUCCCUGAGCUUAACUUAGGAAUUGCAUUCGAUACUGGGAAGCUAGAGUAUGGGAGAGGAUGGUAGAAUUCCAGGUGUAGCGGUGAAAUGCGUAGAUCUGGAGGAAUACCGAUGGCGAAGGCAGCCAUCUGGCCUAAUACUGACGCUGAGGUACGAAAGCAUGGGGAGCAAACAGG
rnacentral:rRNA from 1 species